rnacentral:rRNA from 1 species
GGAUUAGAUACCCUGGUAGUCCACGCCGUAAACGAUGCAUACUAGGUGCCGGAGUCUCUGACGACGUCGGCGCCGAAGCAAAAGUGAUAAGUAUGCCGCCUGGGGAGUACGGCCGCAAGGCUAAAACUCAAAGGAAUUGACGGGGGCUCACACAAGCGGUGGAGCAUGUGGCUUAAUUCGAAGCAACGCGAAGAACCUUACCUGGGUUUGACAUACAUGGAUACGGACGGGUAAUGCCGCGAGUUGCCCUUCGGGGUGAAACAUGUACAGGUGUUGCACGGCUGUCGUCAGCUCGUGCCG